AGGUGUAACCCGAUGUCCCUGGAUACAGAGACCUAUGUUGAUAUAUCCGCCCACACAGCAACAACGACUAUAUGCAUAACCUUCCAUUUAUUUUUACAUGACUUCAGCUCAUCAAAUACCCAGGACCAACUUCAAUGGAUGAUAGACUUAAAUUGUUUGCUAUAUACAGUCCGUUCUAUUGAUUCCUUUGUUUUGCUUGUAAUUUUUGCCUUUCGAAAUUUCCAAAAGAAAAGUGAAACAGCGGUGAUAUCUGAUGAUAAACAGUUGAAAGUAUCACUUUUUUCUAUCAUAACGUGUACAUAUAAUAAACUGUAUGCUUAUGUAUAAAGGCCAAAAUCCAGCUAGGCAUGGAUCAUUUUUGUUUGUUUGAUUGUUUUUUUCCAAGAAAAUAUGAUGAA
rnacentral:lncRNA from 1 species